GAUGAACGCUAGCUACAGGCUUAACACAUGCAAGUCGAGGGGCAGCAUGAUUGAAGCUUGCUUCAAUCGAUGGCGACCGGCGCACGGGUGAGUAACACGUAUCCAACCUGCCGAUAACUCGGGGAUAGCCUUUCGAAAGAAAGAUUAAUACCCGAUAGUAUAGUAUUUCCGCAUGGUUUCACUAUUAAAGAACUUCGGUUAUCGAUGGGGAUGCGUUCCAUUAGAUAGUUGGCGGGGUAACGGCCCACCAAGUCAACGAUGGAUAGGGGUUCUGAGAGGAAGGUCCCCCACAUUGGAACUGAGACACGGUCCAAACUCCUACGGGAGGCAACAGUGAGGAAUAUUGGUCAAUGGACGAGAGUCUGAACCAGCCAAGUAGCGUGAAGGAUGACUGCCCUAUGGGUUGUAAACUUCUUUUAUACGGGAAUAAAGUGGAGUAUGCAUACUCCUUUGUAUGUACCGUAUGAAUAAGGAUCGGCUAACUCCGUG
rnacentral:rRNA from 1 species